GACGAACGCUGGCGGCGUGCUUAACACAUGCAAGUCGAACGGAAAGGCCCUGCUUUUGGGGGGUGCUCGAGUGGCGAACGGGUGAGUAACACGCGAGUAACCUGCCCUUGACUUUGGGAUAACUUCAGGAAACUGGGGCUAAUACCGGAUAGGAGCUCCUGCUGCAUGGUGGGGGUUGGAAAGUUUCGGCGGUUGGGGAUGGACUCGCGGCUUAUCAGCUUGUUGGUGGGGUAGUGGCUUACCAAGGCUUUGACGGGUAGCCGGCCUGGGAGGGUGACCGGCCACAUUGGGACUGAGAUACGGCCCAGACUCCUACGGGAGGCAGCAGUGGGGAAUAUUGCACAAUGGGCGGAAGCCUGAUGCAGCAACGCCGCGUGCGGGAUGACGGCCUUCGGGUUGUAAACCGCUUUCGCCUGUGACGAAGCGUGAGUGACGGUAAUGGGUAAAGAAGCACCGGCUAACUACGUG
rnacentral:rRNA from 1 species